UUUGGUUAAGUUAGAAAGGGCGCACGGUGGAUGCCUUGACACUAGGAGUCGAUGAAGGACGGGACUAACGCCGAUAUGCUUCGGGGAGCUGUAAGUAAGCUUUGAUCCGAAGAUUUCCGAAUGGGGAAACCCACCAUACGUAAUGGUAUGGUAUCCUUAUCUGAAUACAUAGGGUAAGGAAGACAGACCCAGGGAACUGAAACAUCUAAGUACCUGGAGGAAGAGAAAGCAAAUGCGAUUUCCUGAGUAGCGGCGAGCGAAACGGAACAUAGCCCAAACCAAGAGGCUUGCCUCUUGGGGUUGUAGGACAUUCUAUACGGAGUUACAAAGGAACGAGGUAGACGAAGCGACCUGGAAAGGUCCGUCGUAGAGGGUAACAACCCCGUAGUCGAAACUUCGUUCUCUCUUGAAUGUAUCCUGAGUACGGCGGAACACGUGAAAUUCCGUCGGAAUCUGGGAGGACCAUCUCCCAAGGCUAAAUACUCCCUAGUGAUCGAUAGUGAACCAGUACCGUGAGGGAAAGGUGAAAAGCACCCCGGAAGGGGAGUGAAAGAGAUCCUGAAACCGUGUGCCUACAAAUAGUCAGAGCCCGUUAACGGGUGAUGGCGUGCCUUUUGUAGAAUGAACCGGCGAGUUACGAUCCCGUGCGAGGUUAAGCUGAAGAGGCGGAGCCGCAGCGAAAGCGAGUCUGAAUAGGGCGUUUAGUACGUGGUCGUAGACCCGAAACCAGGUGAUCUACCCAUGUCCAGGGUGAAGUUCAGGUAACACUGAAUGGAGGCCCGAACCCACGCACGUUGAAAAGUGCGGGGAUGAGGUGUGGGUAGCGGAGAAAUUCCAAUCGAACCUGGAGAUAGCUGGUUCUCCCCGAAAUAGCUUUAGGGCUAGCCUUAAGUGUAAGAGUCUUGGAGGUAGAGCACUGAUUGGACUAGGGGUCCUCAUCGGAUUACCGAAUUCAGUCAAACUCCGAAUGCCAAUGACUUAUCCUUAGGAGUCAGACUGCGAGUGAUAAGAUCCGUAGUCAAAAGGGAAACAGCCCAGACCGCCAGCUAAGGUCCCAAAGUGUGUAUUAAGUGGAAAAGGAUGUGGAGUUGCUUAGACAACUAGGAUGUUGGCUUAGAAGCAGCCACCAUUUAAAGAGUGCGUAAUAGCUCACUAGUCGAGUGACUCUGCGCCGAAAAUGUACCGGGGCUAAAUACACCACCGAAGCUGCGGAUUGAUACCGAAUGGUAUCAGUGGUAGGGGAGCGUUCUAAGGACAGUGAAGUCAGACCGGAAGGACUGGUGGAGUGCUUAGAAGUGAGAAUGCCGGUAUGAGUAGCGAAAGACGGGUGAGAAUCCCGUCCACCGAAUGCCUAAGGUUUCCUGAGGAAGGCUCGUCCGCUCAGGGUUAGUCAGGACCUAAGCCGAGGCCGACAGGCGUAGGCGAUGGACAACAGGUUGAUAUUCCUGUACCACCUCUUUAUCGUUUGAGCAAUGGAGGGACGCAGAAGGAUAGAAGAAGCGUGCGAUUGGUUGUGCACGUCCAAGCAGUUAGGCUGAUAAGUAGGCAAAUCCGCUUAUCGUAAAGGCUGAGCUGUGAUGGGGAAGCUCCUUAUGGAGCGAAGUCUUUGAUUCCCCGCUGCCAAGAAAAGCUUCUAGCGAGAUAAAAGGUGCCUGUACCGCAAACCGACACAGGUAGGCGAGGAGAGAAUCCUAAGGUGUGCGAGAGAACUCUGGUUAAGGAACUCGGCAAAAUGACCCCGUAACUUCGGGAGAAGGGGUGCUUUCUUAACGGAAAGCCGCAGUGAAUAGGCCCAAGCGACUGUUUAGCAAAAACACAGCUCUCUGCGAAGCCGUAAGGCGAAGUAUAGGGGGUGACACCUGCCCGGUGCUGGAAGGUUAAGGAGAGGGGUUAGCGUAAGCGAAGCUCUGAACUGAAGCCCCAGUAAACGGCGGCCGUAACUAUAACGGUCCUAAGGUAGCGAAAUUCCUUGUCGGGUAAGUUCCGACCCGCACGAAAGGUGUAACGAUUUGGGCACUGUCUCAACCAGAGACUCGGUGAAAUUAUAGUACCUGUGAAGAUGCAGGUUACCCGCGACAGGACGGAAAGACCCCGUGGAGCUUUACUGUAGCCUGAUAUUGAAUUUUGGUACAGUUUGUACAGGAUAGGCGGGAGCCUUUGAAACCGGAGCGCUAGCUUCGGUGGAGGCGCUGGUGGGAUACCGCCCUGACUGUAUUGAAAUUCUAACCUACGGGUCUUAUCGACCCGGGAGACAGUGUCAGGUGGGCAGUUUGACUGGGGCGGUCGCCUCCUAAAAUGUAACGGAGGCGCCCAAAGGUUCCCUCAGAAUGGUUGGAAAUCAUUCGUAGAGUGCAAAGGCAUAAGGGAGCUUGACUGCGAGACCUACAAGUCGAGCAGGGACGAAAGUCGGGCUUAGUGAUCCGGUGGUUCCGCAUGGAAGGGCCAUCGCUCAACGGAUAAAAGCUACCCCGGGGAUAACAGGCUUAUCUCCCCCAAGAGUCCACAUCGACGGGGAGGUUUGGCACCUCGAUGUCGGCUCAUCGCAUCCUGGGGCUGUAGUCGGUCCCAAGGGUUGGGCUGUUCGCCCAUUAAAGCGGUACGCGAGCUGGGUUCAGAACGUCGUGAGACAGUUCGGUCCCUAUCCGUCGUGGGCGUAGGAAAUUUGAGAGGAGCUGUCCUUAGUACGAGAGGACCGGGAUGGACGCACCGCUGGUGUACCAGUUGUUCUGCCAAGGGCAUAGCUGGGUAGCUAUGUGCGGAAGGGAUAAGUGCUGAAAGCAUCUAAGCAUGAAGCCCCCCUCAAGAUGAGAUUUCCCAUAGCGUAAGCUAGUAAGAUCCCUGAAAGAUGAUCAGGUUGAUAGGUUCGAGGUGGAAGCAUGGUGACAUGUGGAGCUGACGAAUACUAAUAGAUCGAGGACUUAACCAUAUAA
rnacentral:rRNA from 1 species